CUGUCAAAAAUUUUUUCGCCAACCUCUCUUCGAAAAUGUGCAAAAUACUGGGCUGCGCUUCUUCGUGCUUGCUUUGAAACUGUCUCAAUUGAAUCGUACAACCUUCGAUGUUGACUAAGUCGCAUUAUCAACUCCGUGAUCCUCCCGGAAAGUGCCAUGCAACGCCUCGCAGGCGGCGUUGCCGGUAAUGGCAGCUUCACCGCAAGGCGAGGUUCCAAGGUUUCGUGACUGCCGUAUCUUCUUGCUUCGAGGAUGUCAUCGCUGCUGUUCGAGCCGAGCGAAGGGCGGUGCGGUAGCUGUACGCCGCCGCCGUCGUCCCAGCAGAGCCACGGCUACCACCUGGCGGGGGGGCCGCAGGGCGGGGGGUCGCGCGUGCCCCCCUUUGCCCCGCAGCCCCACACGGGGGGUCAGCCGGGAGGCAUGCGCUCGCUCUCGGUCACGUCGGCGCACGCGCAACAGCAGCAGCCACAGCAACAGCCCGUGUCGACGGUCACGUGCAACGCGCACGAAGUGUGCCACUACUUUCAACAGGUUUUCUACGUGUCGGCCAUCCUCACGGGCAUCGCGCUGGUCAUCGCCGGCGCCAUCCAGACUGGAGCACCGGACGCCUCGCUCAGCUCCGAGCUGCCCCCGAUGGGACCCGGGGUCGGAGAGCCACCAGAUGGCGUGGUCGCCGGUGGUGACCUGCUCGUGUUUGUCUACAUCGGCGUGCUGCUCAUCGGCGUCAACGUGUCGCUACUGCUCCUGCAGUGCUACAUGCGCAGCAAGGAGUUGCGACGAGCCCGGCGGACGGCGAUGAUGCAGCCACCGUCGAUUCCGCCCGCCACGGUGCACUACAACCCCCUCGUGUCUGUCGGUCCACCGAGACAGGUGGCCAUGCCCUGUGCCGUGGACAUCGCGUCCGGCAUACACAGGCAGCAGCCACAGAUGCCGUCGCCGGGUAAGGCUCAGCGACGCGGCUACGGCCCGGCGUCAGUGCACAGCGUCGCAACGGUGCCGGCGAUGCCCAGCACCCAGCCCCACUGGCUGCUCACCCCUGGCUCCCGGGCAGCCACGGUCGCCGCUAGCCAGCCGCCUCCGAGCUACGAUAACCUCUUGGUGGUCGGGCAUGCACCACGCGAAGUCGCCACACUUCACCUCAUCUAGUCACCUUCUUCUUUUGGCACGCCUCACUUUUGGUCCGGGUGUCCGGGCUCAACGCAACUGCCCCUGCAUUUAAGUCUUGAGUGAGAGGAUGCAUAUGUAGUGGCUGCUUUUAGGUAACAAGACAGGACAAGGGAAAUUCGCCGCAAAAGUUUAUGGGACACAGGACUUUAGAGUUAACCGGACUGCCACAAAGAGCGAGAACAAAGCCUCGAAUUCAAUGUUUCAGUCUGUAGCAGCAGUGUCUUAAACCUUGACAAUAAAAACAUUAAUGGAAUCUUAUGCA
rnacentral:misc_RNA from 1 species